rnacentral:sRNA from 1 species
GCAACAUGUAAGACUAGGAAGGACCUGCGUAAAGUCUGCUCUGAAUGACUGCUUAAGUCAUAUUUCAAGGUGAAAGUAGUGAAAUGUAGGAUCAGCCUAUGUAUUCAUACAUUUUUUAAAGUGCUUUCAGAUACAUUUUUACCUUUUUCUUGUUUGUUUAAACUUUAACCAAACAAAUCUAGGUUGGAAGAAGUGGCAAUAUCCCAGCUGGAACAACAGUUGAUACAGACAUUACACACCCAUAUGAGUUUGAUUUUUACCUCUGUAGCCAUGCUGGAAUACAGGGUACCAGUCGUCCUUCACACUAUCAUGUUUUAUGGGAUGAUAACUGCUUCACUGCAGAUGAACUUCAGCUGCUAACUUACCAGCUCUGCCACACUUACGUACGCUGUACACGAUCUGUUUCUAUACCUGCACCAGCGUAUUAUGCUCACCUGGUAGCAUUUAGAGCCAGAUAUCAUCUUGUGGACAAAGAACAUGACAGGUAAUAUAAAAGCAUAACAGGUUCUCACCCAAAUCCAAAUAUUGUCUGCAUGGUAGGAUUUUCAAGUUCCACAAGCUAUUAGCGGAGUCAGUGAUCCAUAUGAAAAGUGAUGACAGA